AUAACACAGUUCCUGGUUUCGUCAACCAAUGCCAACCAAUCAUAGUCUCACAGCAAGGUAUAUGUAUGGAUGAAGCCACAGGGUCAGUAUCAUUUAGAAAAAUGGCUGGUGUUGUCAGGGACAUGUAUGAAGGAGUAAAUUUUACUGUAAUAGAUCGAAUGAAGAAGGGGAUAAAAGCAUCAUUCCUGAAAAACCACAGAAAAGAGAAAUUAAACGAAAAUAGUGAUGUUCUCUUCAAGAUAUUUAGACAAGGCCGUUUGCAUGUACUGUUAUGCAGACCGAGCAACAGUCCUGAAAUGAUAACAUGCAUUUACAACAGACUGCCAACAACACAUAUGUCUGUACAGCUGACAUCCACAAUGGAAUCGAAAAAGAAGAGAGUGGAGACAUUAUCACUUCGUGGACCGGAAAAUGAAUUACGAUCCUUAUGUGUCGAUUUCCCUGACCUGUUAAGAGCUAUGGGAGAAGGAGCUACCAGACCUGAGGAAUAGGAUCCUGAAAACGAACACGUAAAGAAGACACCAAGAAGAUGUCAUAAUACAACAUGGAUUCUCCUCUCAUCUGAUUUGAAAAAUAAUUCUACUCACUUUUUCUGUGUCACAGCCAUCUGCCUGUCUUAGAAAAACAAUCAAAAUGUGCACCGCUGUUUCUAAUGAGUCAUAAUAAAUCAUAUUUGAUUGAGA